CGAAUGCUGACAUAAGUAACGAUAAAGCGGGUGAAAAGCCCGCUCGCCGGAAGACCAAGGGUUCCUGUCCAACGUUAAUCGGGGCAGGGUGAGUCGACCCCUAAGGCGAGGCCGAAAGGCGUAGUCGAUGGGAAACAGGUUAAUAUUCCUGUACUUGGUGUUACUGCGAAGGGGGGACGGAGAAGGCUAUGUUGGCCGGGCGACGGUUGUCCCGGUUUAAGCGUGUAGGCUGGUUUUCCAGGCAAAUCCGGAAAAUCAAGGCUGAGGCGUGAUGACGAGGCACUACGGUGCUGAAGCAACAAAUGCCCUGCUUCCAGGAAAAGCCUCUAAGCAUCAGGUAACAUCAAAUCGUACCCCAAACCGACACAGGUGGUCAGGUAGAGAAUACCAAGGCGCUUGAGAGAACUCGGGUGAAGGAACUAGGCAAAAUGGUGCCGUAACUUCGGGAGAAGGCACGCUGAUAUGUAGGUGAAGCGACUUGCUCGUGGAGCUGAAAUCAGUCGAAGAUACCAGC
rnacentral:rRNA from 1 species